rnacentral:misc_RNA from 1 species
UAUUCGCAUGUAUUGCCUAA